UGUCUUCCCAAACUAUCCAAGAAUGUGUCCCUAAAAUUUCAGACGCAAAUUCGAAAUAUUUUCGGAGUUACAGAAGAAAUAGUGAGCAAGCGUCGAGCAGGUAUACGAGCGGUUUUUUGAAGUUUUCAACCAGUUUUUUGAAGAGUCUGAACCAGUUUUUUGAAGAGUCUGAAGGGCAACCUAUGGACCAGGAAUCGCUGAUUAGCAUAUUAAUGCGAUGGAAAUUGCGACCUGCACCUUUCCCGCCGCACGACAAAUGCAUACUCGAGACGCCUCGGUGAAAUGCUUGUACCGGGCAUAAUAUGACAUGUAUCCUAAUGAAAAAAUUCGAGAAGACUGUUGAAAUACAGAACAAUAAACCCUGAAAGUUUCGUUUU
rnacentral:lncRNA from 1 species